rnacentral:lncRNA from 1 species
AAGGCUUUAGAGCCACGGAAACGGAAAAACGGAGUGUGUUCAGGGAAGCGCGGAUAGAUCGCCCGCUGGUGAGGCUCUGCGUUCAGGAACAGAGGGUGUUUCUCAGGUAGGUCUCUACUGCUGACACAGGCAUGCAGUGAAGAAGGGUCAGCCACACACCUUCCCGGAGCUGCCCAGUGUCAGAAUUCACUCUCCAUUCUUCUCUGUCACUGUCACCACAGCGAUGACGUCGUCACAGUCAUCUUUCUUUUUAUUGGAGGCACUGUCCUUCCCAUUCCAGGCAAGGGACACUUCCCCACAUCUCUUUCUUACUCCACCCAAGAUGGGCAUCAUCACCCACUUCAGUCUACACAUUGAAGAUCAGGUGUUCUCAAAGACAGUGAUCAAUUAACCCCAGG